rnacentral:rRNA from 1 species
GUACGUAGGGGCUAGCGUUGUCCGGAAUCAUUGGGCGUAAAGAGCGUGUAGGCGGUCCGGUAAGUCCGCUGUGAAAGUCGGGGGCUCAACCCUCGAAUGCCGGUGGAUACUGUCGGGCUAGAGUGCGGAAGAGGCGAGUGGAAUUCCUGGGUGUAGCGGUGAAAUGACGCAGAUAUCAGGAGGAACACCUAUUGCGAAGGCAGCUCGCUGGGACGUAACUGACGCUGAGACGCGAAGCGUGGGGAGCAAACAGG